GCUGAAGAACGUAGUGAAAUGCGAUAAGUAAUGUGAAUUGCAGAAUUCAGUGAAUCAUCGAAUCUUUGAACGCACAUUGCGCCCGUCAGUAUUCUGGCGGGCAUGCCUGUUCGAGCGUCAUUACGCCCCUCAAGUCCCCUGUGGACUUGGUGUUGGGGAUCGGCGAGGCUGGUUUUCCAGCACAGCCGUCCCUUAAAUUAAUUGGCGGUCUCGCCGUGGCCCUCCUCUGCGCAGUAGUAAAACACUCGCAACAGGAGCCCGGCGCGGUCCACUGCCGUAAAACCCCCCAACUUUUUAUAGUUGACCUCGAAUCAGGUAGGACUACCCGCUGAACUUAAGCAUAUCAAUAAGCGGAGGA
rnacentral:misc_RNA from 1 species